UACGGGGGGGGCAAGCGUUGUUCGGAAUUACUGGGCGUAAAGGGCGCGUAGGCGGUCAGUGCAAGUCAGUUGUGAAAUCUCCGGGCUUAACUCGGAACGGUCAACUGAUACUGCUCGACUAGAGUGCGGAAGGGGCAACUGGAAUUCUUGGUGUAGCGGUGAAAUGCGUAGAUAUCAAGAGGAACACCUGCGGCGAAGGCGGGUUGCUGGGCCGACACUGACGCUGAGUGCGCGAAAACCAGGGGAGCGAACGGG
rnacentral:rRNA from 1 species